AUGGUGCAUGCAUGACUAAGUCGCUUUGGAUAGAAGCGUCUGCUAAAUGGCAUAUA
rfam:Salmo salar isolate Sally breed double haploid chromosome ssa13, whole genome shotgun sequence.